rnacentral:rRNA from 1 species
GACGUAGGGAGCAAGCGUUGUUCGGAUUUACUGGGCGUAAAGGGCGCGUAGGCGGCCUGGCAAGUGGAAGGUGAAAUCCCUCGGCUUAACCGAGGAACUGCCCUCCAAACUGCUUGGCUUGAGUCCGGGAGAGGUGAGUGGAAUUCCCAGUGUAGCGGUGAAAUGCGUAGAUAUUGGGAGGAACACCAGUGGCGAAGGCGGCUCACUGGACCGGAACUGACGCUGAGGCGCGAAAGCGUGGGGAGCAAACGGG